rnacentral:rRNA from 1 species
AUACGGAGGGUGCAAGCGUUAAUCGGAAUUACUGGGCGUAAAGCGCACGCAGGCGGUUUGUUAAGUCAGAUGUGAAAUCCCCGGGCUCAACCUGGGAACUGCAUCUGAUACUGGCAAGCUUGAGUCUCGUAGAGGGGGGUAGAAUUCCAGGUGUAGCGGUGAAAUGCGUAGAGAUCUGGAGGAAUCCCGGGGGCGAAGGCGGCCCCCUGAACGAAAACUGACGCUCAGGUGCGAAAGCGUGGGGAGCAAACAGGAUUAGAUACCCUGGUGGUCCACGCCGUAAACGAUGUCGACUUGGAGGUUGUGCCCCUGAGGCGUGGCUUCCGGAGCUAACGCGUUAAGUCGACCGCCUGGGGAGUACGGCCGCAAGGUUAAAACUCAAAUGAAUUGACGGGG